rnacentral:rRNA from 3 species
GGUUAUUCCGUUACGAACGAGACCUUAACCUGCUAACUAGUCUGCUUGUGAACAACAGGUUGUACUUCUUAGAGGGACUAUUGUGCAAGAAGCCAAUGGAAGUUUAAGGCAAUAACAGGUCUGUGAUGCCCCUAGACGUGCUCGGCCGCACGCGCGUUACAAUGACUGGCGCAGAAAGUAUUUCCUGUCCUGGGAAGGUACGGGUAAUCUUAUUAAUACCAGUCGUGUUAGGGAUAGUUCUUUGGAAUUGUGGAUCUUGAACGAGGAAUUUCUAGUAAGUGCAAGUCAUCAGCUUGCGUUGAUUAUGUCCCUGCCGUUUGUACACACCGCCCGUCGCUUGUAGUAACGAAUGGUCUGGUGAACCUUCUGGACUGCGGUAGCAAUACUGCGGGAAAAUAAGUAAACCCUACCAUUUGGAACAACAAGAAGUCGUAACAAGGUAUCUGUAGGUGAACCUGCAGAUGGAUCAUUA